UACGUAGGGGGCAAGCGUUGUCCGGAUUUAUUGGGCGUAAAGAGCGUGUAGGCGGCCAGAUAGGUCAGCUGUGAAAACUCGAGGCUCAACCUCGAGAUGUCGGCUGAAACCAUCUGGCUAGAGUCCGGAAGAGGAGAAUGGAAUUCCCGGUGUAGCGGUGAAAUGCGCAGAUAUCGGGAGGAACACCGGUGGCGAAGGCGGGUCUCUGGGCCGAUACUGACGCUGAGGAGCGAAAGCGUGGGGAGCGAACAGG
rnacentral:rRNA from 1 species